rnacentral:rRNA from 1 species
GUGAGACAGAGGAGAGUGGAAUUUCGUGUGUAGGGGUGAAAUCUGUAGAUCUACGAAGGAACACCAAAAGCGAAGGCAAAUCUCUGGGUCCCUAC